CUCAGCGCCCGGGAGUGACUGACUCCCGCCAGCCCCUCCACGUCAAUCAACCCUCCUCCUUCUCGCACUCUCCGCACCUUGUUAUUAAUCUCAAAACCGAUAUCGCCCGGACGCCUCUCCCCCAGCCUUCGGGGGUGUGAACGUGUGUGAGCGAGAGCGAAGGCACCGAAAGCUGGCGUCUUUGCUCGGCCUCGGCCCCAGCAGCAUUCGGCGCAGCAGCAACCCCCGCAGCGGCGGCAGCCCCAGCGCCAGGAGGCCAAGGCCAAGGCCAGGCUCUGUGAGGCCCUCGGAGCAAUAGCCGCGGCUGCGGGGGCGCAGCUUCUUCUGGCUGGGGCCUUCACGUCAGCGGCCGCGGCGCCUCUCCUGCGCGCCCAGGGUCACCGUCCUCGAAGUCCGGCGGCGCGGCCUUCGUCCCCCUCCCCGCCCCCCGAUCCGUCUCCUCUCUCCCUUCAGCCGCCCUCCGCGCCGCCGCCCCUGCCGUUCCUCAGGCGGCCCGGCCCGCCCGCCCCGCGUCCCCUCCGGCCGGUGCCUCUCCCCCCGGCGGGCUGCCUGCAUGUCUUUGCUGCCCUCAGCC
rnacentral:lncRNA from 1 species